CGCACAUUGCGCCCCUUGGCAUUCCGAGGGGCAUGCCCGUUCGAGCGUCAUUAAAUCCAAUCAAGCCUGGCUUGGUCUUGAGCGUCGGGGCACCCCGCGCUUCAAUUUCACCGGCUGGCCGUCGCCCGUCUUAGCGUUGUGACACACUUCUCGCUAGCGACUGGAGCGGACCACGCCGUUAGAACCCCCCCGAAUUUCAGUCGAAAUUUGAAUAAGGUUGACCUCGGAUCGGGUAGGAAUACCCGCUGAACUUAA
rnacentral:misc_RNA from 1 species